rnacentral:ncRNA from 24 species
AUAAUAUUAUUGUACACGGGUGCAUAUUGCUUAAUAGAGGAAGAAGAGUGAAAAUCUCUCACAGCGAAAGCUACUGUAAUGUGGAUGAAAUCAUAAUAAACCACUGGGCAACUGGGAAGGUAUGAAAGUAAGGUGAAGCAAAGUCAGGAGACUUACCAUUAUAUUAAUAUUUAUA